rnacentral:misc_RNA from 1 species
GAUGAAGACCGCAGCGAAAUGCGAUAAGUAGUGUGAAUUGCAGAAUUCAGUGAAUCAUCGAAUCUUUGAACGCACAUUGCGCCCGGUAGUAUUCUGCCGGGCAUGCCUGUUCGAGCGUCAUUUCAACCAUCAAGCCCCAGCGCUUGUGUUGGGGGCCUGCGGCUGCCGCAGCCCCCUAAAAGCAGUGGCGGGCUCGCUAUCACACCGAGUGCAGUAGUUCAUCUUCUCUCCGGUCUUGUGAGGCGGGUUCCGGCCGUGAAACACCCCACUACAUUCAAGGUUGACCUCGGAUCAGGUAGAAAUACCCGCUGAACUUAAGCAUAUCAAUAAGCGGAGGA